ACUUAAAUUGAAGAGUUUGAUCAUGGCUCAGAUUGAACGCUGGCGGCAGGCCUAACACAUGCAAGUCGAACGGUAGCACAGAGAGCUUGCUCUCGGGUGACGAGUGGCGGACGGGUGAGUAAUGUCUGGGAAACUGCCUGAUGGAGGGGGAUAACUACUGGAAACGGUGGCUAAUACCGCAUAACGUCGCAAGACCAAAGAGGGGGACCUUCGGGCCUCUUGCCAUCAGAUGUGCCCAGAUGGGAUUAGCUGGUUGGUGAGGUAACGGCUCACCAAGGCGACGAUCCCUAGCUGGUCUGAGAGGAUGACCAGCCACACUGGAACUGAGACACGGUCCAGACUCCUACGGGAGGCAGCAGUGGGGAAUAUUGCACAAUGGGCGCAAGCCUGAUGCAGCCAUGCCGCGUGUAUGAAGAAGGCCUUCGGGUUGUAAAGUACUUUCAGCGGGGAGGAAGGUGUUGUGGUUAAUAACCGCAGCAAUUGACGUUACCCGCAGAAGAAGCACCGGCUAACUCCGUGCCAGCAGCCGCGGUAAUACGGAGGGUGCAAGCGUUAAUCAGAA
rnacentral:rRNA from 1 species